rnacentral:rRNA from 1 species
CCUACGGGUGGCAGCAGUGAGGAAUAUUGGUCAAUGGACGAGAGUCUGAACCAGCCAAGUAGCGUGAAGGAUGACUGCCCUAUGGGUUGGAAACUUCUUUUAUAUGGGAAUAAAACAGGGUAUGCAUACACUCAUGUAUGUCCCAUAUGAAUAAGGAUGGGCUAACACGGUGCCAGCAGCCGCGGUAAUACGGAGGAUGCGAGCGUUAUCCGGAUUUAGGGGGUUUAAAGGGAGCGUAGGUGGAUUGUUAAGUCUGUUGUGAAAGUUUGCGGCUCAACCGGAAAAUUGCAGUUGAUACUGGCAGUCUUGAGUACAGUAGAGGUGAGCGGAAUUCGUGGUGUAGCGGUGAAAUGCUUAGAUAUCACGAAGAACUCCGAUUGCGAAGGCAGCUCACUGGACUGCAACUGACACUGAUGCUCGAAAGUCUGGGUAUCAAACAGGAUUAGAUACCCUAGUAGUC